UCCCUGGUGGUCCAGUGGCUAAGACUCCUCACUCCCAAUUUAGGAGGCCUGGGUUUGAUCCCUGGUCAGGGAA
rnacentral:tRNA from 1 species